GUAAUUGUAGCUUAAAUACUAAAGCACAGUACUGAAAAUACUGAGAAUGAGACAAACUUUUGCCUCCAAAUACA
rnacentral:tRNA from 1 species